UAGGGAAUCUUCCACAAUGGACGCAAGUCUGAUGGAGCAACGCCGCGUGAGUGAAGAAGGCUUUCGGGUCGUAAAACUCUGUUGUUGGAGAAGAAUGGUCGGCAGAGUAACUGUUGUCGGCGUGACGGUAUCCAACCAGAAAGCCACGGCUACUACGUGCCAGCAGCCGCGGUAAUACGUAGGUGGCAAGCGUUAUCCGGAUUUAUUGGGCGUAAAGCGAGCGCA
rnacentral:rRNA from 1 species